AUAAUGAAACAUGAAGGUAAAAAAUGUGCUUCAUAGAUGACUGUAGUAUUCUGCUGAGCUACAGAACUAUAGCUUUCCGGAAAUAUUGCCGAGAUUUGCGGACUGUAGAUCUAUUGUAUAGACUAUAGUACAUGCAAAGAAUAAAAUGAAAUUUAUAUACACAGCUGUACGGUCAGAAAACAUGCGUUUAACUUGAAUUUUGUUUGUUUGGUGUUUUUAAAAACUUAUUUUGAAUAAUUAAUCUAAUGUAUAUUUCUUGUAAGUUUACUAGAAAAGUUUAAUGUUGCAAGUAAAUUAUGCGUGUUAAAGUGUACUGAGAAGCGAUAAAAUAUACAUGUGACUUUCCCAAAUUCAUUCAAAUGAUUUGAAUAAAUCUAUAGCUAAAUGCAAUUAGACAAAUGUACUUUAAAACGUUGAUAAAUGAAACUGCCGCGACUGAAUAUUGUAUGAUAUUUUUUUCUCAAAUUUUUAUUCACUUACGUUGUGAGCAAAUGGAAAUAAUCCACUACAGUCGAAGAUAAAAUAUUGAUUGACUCUUCUGUUUCAUGAUGACGUGCAUUCCAAAAGCAAUACCAGUUUUAUCAAACAGGUUCUUGCAAACCAUUCCGUUUUCUGUACACCUAAAUGUAUAACUGACUAUGAGGACAAAAGCAAGUGUGAUAGUCCAUAAGCAAGUGUGAUGAUGCAACUUUUUCCCCGUGAAGAAACUGAGAGAAAAUGCUGUCGAGAGGGAUAAUAAACAUACUACAUGUAUGCCCAAAUAGUUAGUAAAAACCUGAUAAGUAUUUUAUCAUACUAAAGCUUUAUUUGUUCUCGUUACUUUGAGAAAUCUACAAUAUCUUUAAAGCACAAAAGUCCAAUCCACACUUUUCAAAAGUUGUUCCCCUUUGCAGGGUCAACCCAAAGGUCAAAAGGGAAAAAACCAAAAUUCCCCUUCUUUAUACAAUCAAAUAGUUUGGCGCACUGUGAUGAAAUCGCUUUGGAUUUGAUUUAUUCAUUCAAUAUGUGGUGGCAACCCACAUAUUUAAUGAGUCAUUCUGGGGCAAUCAAAAUACAUUUGUGUAGUACAUGUAUUACCGAAAACGGAGUUUUAA